CUAAAGACUACAAGCAAAAUGUACUUAAGGACAUCAUUCAAGCUAAGUUUGAAGUUGAGCAUGAUCUUCACGUGGCUUAUAUCUUCAAAUCACUUAACAUAAAAUAGAGAGAGCAUCGUUAAGAAUUGUGGCAACAAAGGGAUGAUGGAACUCAUAAUAGAGAUCAAUUGAUUGCAAUGGUCCCAGAAGGAUUAAAUAAAGAUCAAUGGGCAUCUUUUGUAGACUAUCGUUUAGAUUCAAAAACUAAGGAAAAAGCCCAAAAAAAUAAAGAGAAUAGAAAAAAGCAAACAAUUCCCCACACAGGUGGUUCCAUGAGCAUUGCACGCAAGAAGCAAAAGAUGGAAUUAGAGUGUGGCCGCAAAGUUAGUAGGGGAGAAAUAUGGAUAGCAACACAUAAACAUGCUAAUGGGGAAUUCGUGAAUGAUGAAG